GAGCCAUUAGCUCAGUCGGCAGAGCACUUGACUUUUAAUCAAGGUGUCCGGAGUUCGAAUCUCCGAUGGCUCACCA
rnacentral:tRNA from 3 species